AUGAGCAAAUCCUUGGGACCCAAGCUCCAGGCACUUUAUACAUAUGAAAAGGAGUGCCUCGCCAUCCUCAUGGCCGUGGAUCGUUGGCGCCCGUACCUCCUCACUUCCUCCUCCGUCAUCCGCACGGAUCACCGCAGCUUGGCGUGUUUGGACGAGCAGCGCCUGACCACCCCCUGCCAGCAAAAAGCACUAACCAAACUGCUCGGCCUCCACUACACCAUCGAGUACAGGAAAGGUGAGACCAAC
rnacentral:rRNA from 1 species